rnacentral:rRNA from 1 species
AUUGAACGCUGGCGGCAUGCUUUACACAUGCAAGUCGAACGGCAGCGCGGGCUUCGGCCUGGCGGCGAGUGGCGAACGGGUGAGUAAUACAUCGGAACGUGCCCAGCAGUGGGGGAUAGCUCGGCGAAAGCCGGAUUAAUACCGCAUACGACCUGAGGGUGAAAGCGGGGGAUCUUCGGACAUCGCGCUCUUUGAGCGGCCGAUGCCGGAUUGGUUAGCUGGUGGGGUAAAGGCCUACCUAGGCGACGAUCUGUAGCUGGUCUGAGAGGACGACAGGCCACAUUGGAAGGGGAACGGGGCCCAGGCUCCUACGAGACGCAGCAGAGGGGAAUGGUGGGCAGUGGUCGAGAGCCUGGUCCAACAGUGCGACGUGUGAGGUGAAGGCCUUCGGUUUGGAAAGCACUUUUGGCGGGAGCAAAAAGGACUGUGCCAAGACGACGGGUCAGUGACGGUACCCGGUAAAUAAGCACCGGCUAACUACGUG